UAGACACAAGGGACCUGGAUC
rnacentral:piRNA from 1 species